AUACGGAGGGUGCAAGCGUUAUCCGGAUUCAUGGGGUUUAAAGGGUGCGCAGGCGGAUAUUUAAGUCAGUGGUGAAAUCCCGGGGCUCAACCUCGGAACUGCCAUUGAUACUGAAUAUCUGGAAUACGGUUGAAGUGGGCGGAAUGUAGCAUGUAGCGGUGAAAUGCAUAGAGAUGCUACAGAACACCGAUCGCGAAGGCAGCUCACUAAGCCGAUAUUGACGCUCAGGCACGAAAGCGUGGGGAGCGAACAGGAUUAGAAACCCUAGUAGUCC
rnacentral:rRNA from 1 species